UUUCAGGUGUUAUGGAAGUUGUUAGCUUCCAGUUCCUGAUGAAUACCUGUGAAUACUUAAAAAAUGUACAUCAUAUGGCCCGACUGGUAUGCUAGUGAUGCCAGGUAAGUCCAAGAUACCUCUAAAUCAUUGUCACCAGUGUCAUCUUACUUAUCAAAUGGUCUCUGUUGUCCUUCCUCACUAUCUUCACCCUGACAGCUCUUCUUCUAGUCUUUAUGGUGCGCACCAGCAUCUGGCUUUGAUGCUGCACAUCUCUCAGGUUCUCCCUACACAUUGAUGCCAUUUGUGAGAUUCUUAUUCCCACACUUCCCAAAGACCUGCUUUCUAUGCUGUGCAUAAAGGGCACUCAUUUCUGUGUUAAACAUUCUCAGCAAGAAAAGCCAGUCAUGCUUUCUCUUGUUCCAUUCUUCUUCCUCAUGUCAGUUGUCUGAGUUUUUCACAUUACCUUUGUCCUCCCUCUGUAUGUCAAGUUGAAUUCUGCAGAUUGGAUGUGUUGCUGAAAAAGUAUCAACUCUUUUCCUUGCUACUGUAGCAUGUCUGGUGUGUUCUGGUGUCUUAGUUUUGGUAUAGGUAGUGAUUAAUAGUUGCAAUAAUUCAUGAACUGCUACUGGUCUGUCAGCUGUCUUAGUGGUUUCUAUUUAAGUCUUACAAAUCACUGCCCAGGCAAUAAGCAUGUCAUCCUGCAAACAAAGUGAAGGUGAGCAAGGAGCUGUGACUUUUUUCCUCUAAACUAUUUUUUUAGUGUUACCUCAUCUUUCUAUGCCACCCCCUUCAUGUUUUCACAUACCCAUUGCCUUCGUGGUCUGACUCUGAGCUCAGUGUGCCAGGGACUCUUUAUGCUCGUAUUUAUUGCUGCACACUAUUAGCACAGUGUUCUGUAGGUUGUGUCCUUGCAGCGUUCCUGAUUGUGAUGUUAAUGGACUGCUAUUCAGGAUAAAAUAAUGGCAAAUGUGGCAUGAGAUGAAGAGGCAUGGAAGCAUUAUGCUGAUCUUUGUUCCCUGGGUCUGGCCCCUGGUGUAAUCAACAGAAAGGAGUGGGUGGGAUACAGGUGGGACAGGGGUCUUCAGUUGCCCAAUUCUCGGCUGAACUCUGUUUCAUUUCUGUUGGAAGGAUUUCAUUCCUCAGGACAAGCUGUCUAUUUGGCCCCUUUUACAAACACUCAGAUCAGUUUCAGCACAUGAAAAAAAGCAAAGGUCUGGUUGCAUGGAUCUGGGGUAGAGGCAGCAGUGCAUAGCUCCAGCAGAAAGCUAACCUUUCCUUCCACUGUUUUCCUGCUUUCCCCCCUCCUCCUACUGAGCCCUGCAGAGAGAUUAGUGAUCAGACUGUAAAUUCCCCAAGUACAGAAAGUAGUAAACCUCCCAUCCCCUCCCCAAGAGGACUUGUAUGCUGACAACAGCUUCAUUCAAUCUGACACCUGUUUCACUCUGAGACAGGCCCCUAUAAAUAGAGUAAAUGUAACCCUAGGUGGCAUUGCAAAAUAUUAUGGAAAACAUAGCUUACAACCCUGAGAAAAAGGGGGAGUAGAGAGAGUGGGGGUGGGCAAAAAGACACUAUCUACCAUAAAAACCUGGCAGCUUCAUGCAAGUGCUGUUGCUUUUAAUUUAAAUGCUCAUUUCUUAUUCUAUUUUCAGAUCCUCUCUGGGAUUUUAGGAAUGUUGAGACGUGCUGGUUAUAAAGCCCUAAGUACAAAAUGGUCACGGAUGGCUGGAAUGAGGCAUGUUCUAAUGGAAACAAAUCACUUGUCAGUAAGCAGCCUUCAAACUUUUGAACAAAAGCUCAAAAGGGUCAGGGAAAAGACAUGUUUGUUGAUUUAAAAUGGCUGGAUGCAGGUCAUCAGGAAGGCAUAGGCUUCAAUAUUGUUGAGGUAACUCUUUGGUUCUGUGAGUUAUAAACAAGGUUAAAUACUUUGAUGGCAACCACAAAUGGAAUGAGGAACUUAAAUUAAGCAGAAAGCUCACACGUUAUAAAGUGAAGUGUGCAUAAUACCAAAAUGUAAAGCACGUACACCACUGCAAAACAGCCGCAGAAUGGAGCUGAGCUGUGGGAGCCACAUUUAGGUAGUUCUACAUGACUGUGAGGAAGCCUGUGCUGUAUCUACUGAAAUUUAGAAGGGUGACCAGUAUUCCUAUAGAUGUCUGUGAUUCAUUGAUAUUUUAGUUAGUUAAAAUAGUGUAACUUAGCUUUAUAGUGAUUUGAUGAUACAUCCAAAUCCUGAUUCUGUUUAUUCACCUUUCUAUAGAUUUUAACUCUAAGUGAAAUUAUUCAGUACAGUAGUUAAUUUUUUAUAUCUGCUUGCAAAACCCAUAGUGAGGUUCGUGACCCCUAGAACAACUAUAAUGAGGGAUCAGCUCUUCUUUUUCCUGUGUAAUAUUUUGUGUUGCUCUGUGAAAUGAAAAAUGUUGGUGUAUAAUAAAUUGUAUAAGGUGGAUGAAUUACAGUCCCUGUGGAACAUCAUGUUGAAUCUCCUAAUUCUACUGUAGCUUGGUUUCAUAAGAAAAUGAUGCUUAUGCAAUCUUCCUUUAUGAUUAGUCUGUCUGUCUGCUAUUUGCCCUCACAAGCAGCUUCUGAACUUAUUCAGUCUUCGGCUGGAUUUGAAGAGUUGGAAUAAUUAUAUUUUGACUAGGUUUGUGGAAACUGCUUUCUGUCUAGAAAAAAAGAGAGAGUUCGUACCUCUGUAGAGGGGAAGGCAGGUACAGAAAUUGCCAGCAGUAAACAUGGGGCUCCUUGGAACAGUACACACAGUUUUGUGCAUAAAGGAGCACAGUGGGGACUGAUGAGUCAGGUUUGGGCACAGGUGACUGGGCAAAGAAAUCUGAAGGGACAAAGGUUUGACCUCCAUUAGUAACCAGGUUUCAUUUCAGUGUUCAUGGAAUAAUUUCAUUUUGGUAUGGAAAACAGCAGGAGGAGAAAAUGGAAUGACUGUUGUAAAAUGGUAUCUGUGAGCUUCAAAGUGCAGGGCAGUCUUUUGGUGUUUCUGAGGUUUACUCUGCUAAGUAAACAUUCUGCUUUCAAAGGGAAGAAACUGAGGCACUUUCUUCACAGAGUUUUGACUUGCACAAAGGCACCAAAUGACUCAGCAGAAACCAGUUACAGCUUACAGAUGUUUAGGUGGCCUAGAAUCGUUUAAUCAUUUCGGUUGGAAAAGAUCAUCAAGCCCAAACUUAAUGCUAAUAGUGCUAAGCCCACCAGUAGAUCAUACCCCUAAGCACCACAUCUACACAUCUUUUAAAUACCUUCAGGGAUGGUGGUGAUUUUACUACUUCCUGGAAAGCCAGUUCCAACUUCAGCCCUUCUGCUGAAGACAUUUUUUCCCAUAUCCAAUUCCUCCCCAAACUGAGGGGCAACUUGAAGCUAUUUCCUCUCAUUCUGCCACUUAUAAUCUGUGAAGGAGGCCAAGCCCCACCUUGCCACAAUCUCCUUUUUGGCAGAUGUAGACAGCAUAAAGUCUCCCCUGGGUCUCAUUUUCUCCAGGCUAAACAACUGAGCUCUCUUAGCCUCUCUUCAAAGAACUUGUGUACUAGACCCUUCUUUAACUCGAUUGCCCUUCUGGACAAUCUUCAGCAUCUCAGUGUCCUUCUUGUAGUGAGUGGUCCAAAACUGAGCACAGGAUUCCAGGUGUGGCCUCAUCAGUGCUGAGGAUAAGAGGACAAUCACUGCCCUGGUUCUGGCCAAUAUGGCCAGCAACUUACACAGAUCUUCACUGACCAUAUGUCAUAGCCAUGCCAAAUAUUCUCCUUCCUCAAGGGAACCUCAUCACUGCUCCCCAUUCUUACUCUUUAUUGUUGCUCUUUGGGUCUUUUAAAUUGUCAUCUGUUAUUAUUGCAAGAGAAGAGCCUUGCCUGUUCAAGCCCAGCAAUCUCUUGCCAUCCACAAAGGUUGUAGUAUGUGUUGCCAUGACAAGGAAAGUAUCUUCCAAAUGGCACUUGUUUUGUUUGCCAAAUGCCACUAAUAGUUGUUUUGUUUCUGCCAGAAAUGAGGCCAUGCUGCUGAAGAAGGAUUGCAAAGUAGUCUGCAGAGAGCUCCAGGUGGUAUGGACCAAAGCAGCCUGAUACCUGAGUUGGUUUUGUUUGAAGUUAACUUGGAGUUGUCCAUAGUAUCCUGAUCUCCUCACCUGCCAUAAAUAUGGCAGCUAGAUAUUUUUCAUCCUGCUCUUCUUUCCUGACUUAUCCAUCAUGCAAAGGACACUCUGAGACCAUGGGGAGGAGUAAUUGUGGGAGACACUUCUCUUCAGAUGCUACACUGCCUGGAUGAAAGCUUAUCAGCAGCUUGGGUUUCUCAGCAUUGAUGCAGGACAGCUAGUUCAGAGGAUGCUGCUGAAAGUUUUACACUAUCUUUACCGUGGGAGAGAUAGGAGAACUACUUUGCCCACUCUGGUUCCAGUUCAGGUAUAAAGCUGUGUAUUGUAGCCUUGAAGUCUGUGUAACAAAGAUGUCUGAGCAGUGUCCACUCAGGAUCAUGUAUGGAUUUAACUUACUCUGCUGCCUUUCCUUUUGAAGUCCAGGUUGCAGAGUGAUUUGAUAGAUAAACCGGGCUGUGCUGUCAGUUUCACCCUGGAGAGUGUGAUUUUUUUAAAAUCUGAUUUACAUGACAGGCAUACUUAAAAGACCGGUCCUGAGUCUCUGGUGGCAGGUGACAAAACCAAGGUAUUAAUAAAGAGAAGAGCUGAUAAUGCAACCUGUGUGAUCAAUCCUUUGCUGUGGUCUGUGUCCUCAGAGCGAUGAGCAGCAGCCAGGCUGAAACAUGUAACAGGAAGACUGUGUGGUCUGCCACAGCUGGCUGCUGGCUACUAUUCCCAUCUUGUUAUAGAAUUCAUUCUGGUUAAUAAUAAAUUCAGUUAAAAACUAUUUAAGUAAAACAGCCUGACGUGGCUUGUCGGAUACAGUAUUGUGUCGGGAAGCCAAAAGUUGCAUUUGCUCCCAGUUUUCUGUUGUGUUUUGUAACAGUAGGCGAAUUGCCCAUGCCUCCACUCAAAACAAAUCCAUUGUCAGUCCUGCUUGCUAGGCAGACAAAUUGCUUUGGGAAGAGGCUGUAUUUCAGGGUGUGCCUCUACAAUGUCUGGAUAGGCCAUGGCCAAGACAGGAAUGCCUAUCACGUAUGAGCAUCUGUAGCACGUGUCACUAUUACAGUGCAAAAUGAACCAAUGUGCCCUUGGAUGAUGACUCCCCUGCUCUCUGUAACCUGCAGCAGGUUUGGGAGAUGGUUCAGUAAAACCAGUUUUCAUAGAAGAAAUUGGGUCUUCAGGAAGAGAGAGUGAAAUGAGAAGGACAAGAAGAUUGAUGCUGUUGCCUGAGUUAAGAGGAUGAAAUGAGAUGUGGGACAGAGCCUGGUUUGAGAGGAAAGGCACAAUGUUUGCAACUGACUUAACAUAUGGCAGCAAAUCUGUGAAGUGGCUCAAAUAAAGGUCCCAAAUGUUUUGUCUGUCCUACAUACCCAUGGCAAGUUCAAGCACAGUUAUCUGGGCUGAGCUUCCAGGGCUUAGGGAUCAUCAUGUGGGGGGGCUUUUCACUCUCCCCAGUUUGUGACUGACCAUGAACACAGAGGUGAUUUCCUCUCUUCCUGGAAUUGAACCAGGCCUUGAUCCCAAGCCUCAUGGGAGAGAAUUGGAAAGCAGGUAAUGAAUCUGUUUGUCCUCUUGUUUACUGAGUUGUAAAUGUAAUGAAAUUCAGCUGCAAUUGGAGAUGGAAUAUUCCAAAAUUUGUGUUAGUGAGAAGAAAAUAAGACCAGAAUGUUUUUCAGUUUAAGCAAAAAGAAAAGCUGAACAACUUCAUGGGGGCAUUUGUUCAGUUGCUUUUAAAAAUGUAAAGAAGAUUAAAGAGAAGAGUGAAAAUACUUGAAUCACAUUAGCACUUCAUUUCAUAGCUACCUUGUUCUCUUGUUGAUGAUCCUUCACUAAAAGUAAAACUUUGGGAACUGAUGGAAUUCAGAAAGUAGCAAUGAAAAUCAUUAAUGGGAUGCUAUCAUUUGCUUUACUAGGAAAGUGGUUGUGGCUGACAUAUACAAGGUGCUUUGAAAGGACCCAUUAGCAUUACGGAUGGAAGUGAAAUACUGAUUAACAUGAUCAAGAUUAUUAAAUUGCCAGAUGAAACAAAAGCUAAGAUAUGUCAUAUAUUAGAAGGUACAGUACAGAGGUGAGGAUUUAAUCACAUUUGUUAACUUUUCUCUAAUAGAAUCACUUCAUUACAUAUCUUGAUUUUAAAAGGCAAUGCUUCCAAAAUGGUAGGUAAAAAAUAAAAAAAAAAAAAGAUAGUUUUAAUGCAUUACAUAAGGAGACAUAGGGCAUCAAAGCUAGCAUGAGGCACUUGAGAAAAAAGAUGAGCUGUGUCCUAACAAACUUUUAAAAGCAGACAUUUGAGUUUCAUAAAGCAAAUGGCCAAUGCCAGCAUUUCCUUGCACUUGUCAGUUCUGGCCCUCUGACUGAUACUAAAUGAGUAAUUUCAUACAAUGAGAAAAUCAGAUUCUUUAGUUGCUUUACAUAUUUACCUGUUUGCCUGUGCAGCUGUAGCUACCUUGCCAGUUGGCUGAACAGCAGUUCUAGGUAACACUAAGAGCAGAAACUCUUAAAAUGUGGCAGCAUAUGUGAAAAAGAGCAAAGGACCCAUUUUUUGUAGCUGCACUAUCCAAGUGAGCAUUGUUUCAUAGCUUUAGUGGAUCACCUAGAGACUUCUUCCCUCAUAUUUGAAGACAGGUUACUUUGUGAAAUAUGAUACUAGGGAUUGUGAUGUAUCCAAAAGCAACAUAAAUGCAUUGCAGAUUGGUUUUGCUGUUUCAGAAAGCAUGUUCACAUACACAGUCUUGAAAGAAGGUGGGAGCAAAGCCAACAUAGAAUUAACCACACUGAAUAACUUGCACAUUUUCCAUGAAGUCUUUCAUGUAUUCUCUGCUUUUCAAAAGUGAACAAGGGCCAAAACCAGCCACAUCACUUGGAUUUGCUAUAAUGAACUCCUGCUUCUCUGCAGUCUGAAUCUAAGCCACUAUCCUACACUUACCACAUCAUAAGAAACCACUAACCCUAACCAUGAGACCAGUACAUUCAUGUCUCUACAAUAUGUUCGUUACACUCACAUUAAUAAAGGAAUAUAAUGUUACAAUGCCUGUGCCAUUAAACAACACCUGUUCCAUACAAUGGAAACAAGGCACUCCAUCAUUAAAUAUAUUAUCUUCUUAACAAAGAACUGCACAACUGUUUGGCUAGAGCUGUGAAGCAAAUGGUCUAUUUACAUAUGAAAAGAAAUUUGUGUACAUUUGAUGAAUGACAGAAUAAUUGCUAUAUAUGGUAAGGGAAAUGAAAGUAAAAUAUUUCGUAUAUUCAUUACUGCUAUUGCCAGUAAGUUGGAAAGGCCUUGAUAUAGCUGUGAAUGUACCUUUCUUGACCACUUCAGCUAGGCAAAGCUUACACAGGCUGCUGGCAGCAUCACAAGAGUAAGCUUUAAUUCUAGGAAUCUUAGUGGAAAAGGUCUGGUACAAUGUGUUCAAAUCAUCCCCUAGAAACACACAUAAAAUGGGUUUUGUCUACUUGAUUUCACAGUUCUGAGAUGUGGGUCCUCCACCAUUGCACUUAGAAGCCUGGUCUGGCUUUAAACAAAUUCCUGAGUGUGAUAUUUUUUUUCCUUUUUAUUUAGUGGACAUUCUUAUUUCUUCUUGUUGUUCAUGUUAUUCUCAUCAUACCUUUAAAACCACCCACAAUUAUGGGUCUUGGCCCUAGAUAAGCAACCCCAGCCCGAACCUCUGUGGAAACAGUGAGGGGAAGGUUAAAGGGGUAGAACACCCCAAAGUGGGUUCUAUACCUUUUGCAGCAAGCUGCAGGAUAGAAAGAGAUGUAAUCAAAGGUUUUGGACAAGGGAAAAUGAUAAUUUUCUACUUCAGUCACCUCUUCUACACACACAUGCGUGCAUAUACACAAAAGGGAGGAGACUUUUCUUUGCAAAUUUCACUUGAAAUUGCUGCUGUCAGCCGUUAUCUGGAGCUAAACACUAGACACAGAGUAAAUGUGCUACCCUUGCUGCAAUCCAAAUCUUACUGACCUGGUAGGAGGGGAAGAUGGCAGCUUUGGUGCAAUGCAGUCAGUGAAAAGGUGAGAAGUAGCAGGUGAAGAGAAGGACCUAGAUGGCUGGGGAAGAACAGUAGGUUCUUGAUUUAGGAAUAUCCAUGUUUAGAGGUGUUGAUCUGAUAUGCAGAAAUACCAAACCCUCACAGCAGAAACUGAUGGCAGUGAGAAUCAUGUUCGGCAAAUAUAGAGUGCUCUUGAGUACUGAGAAUUGGAGCUGGCAACUCAAACUGGCCACACAAAUUAGCUUACUGUAUAGACAAAUUUAACUUUUUUUCUCACUGAAACUCAUCUCUUUGUGCAUCUAAAAAUACUAGUAAUGAUAUCACACUUUUAGUAAAUGUAUUCAGGUUUAUUUAAAGGGAAAAUAAAAAGCUAAACAGGAAACAAUGUGAACAUAUUAUAAUGUAGAAGCCAGAUAAAAGCCUGAGAAAAAGAAAAUUUCUCUUUUGCUUGUAGGGUUUGAAAAGCAUGCAGCAAAUGACACCUGAGAUCUCAUGCUGAAUGAGUAGGAUAAACAUAAUUAUUGAGUAACUGCCCAUUCGCUGAAAGAAGGCAAGGUUCUAGCAGAAUAUCUGACCGUGUUUUACAUUAUUUACUUGUCUAUAGGUAUGAAGUGCGUAACUAAACUUGGCCACGGGAACUGAGCUCAGGGAGCAUGAUGGGGGGGCUCAAUUAAGAGGCAGAGAAAAACCUUAAUCCUAUUGCUUAAUUUACCCAGGUUCAAGGGCUUGAUUUUGUGAGUCUAAUUAUUCUUUUCACAGUUUUCUUCUCCAGUGCAGUUCAUGGGUAUGGAAAACAACAUGAGCACUUUCUGAAAGACAGCUGGCACAGCUGGUUCCUCAGCACACAUGACCACAAACCAAACCUCAUACUGUCAGCUUAAUCUUUGCUUUGGCUUGUUUAGAUUAGUGACCCAUCAAAAUGUGUCAGUGUAUACCAACCUUUUCUUCCAUAAACAUUUUUUCCCUCUUGUAGCUGAUUUUUAUAUGCACAGCAUUCUGCAAGCUGCAUAAAUAUCCAGCUCCUUGUGGUUCAUAAGCAUACCCAGGAAAUAGUGAUUGCCUGGUAAAGCAUUUUAGGCUGGCAACUUGGGAUCUCUGUAAUGAGAUCUUGCACAAUGUUUGUUCACUCUUAGAAGAUCAGAACGUUCCUUGCCAAACCCUCAACCUUUAAGAGGAAAUAGGACAUAUUGCCCUUCCAAGAAGACACAGAUAGGAUGGCACAACUCUUCUGACACAGGCAGAAACAAAGAGACCUAAAAGAAGAAGGUAGUCUCAUCAAAGAAGAUGUGUAACCACGAUUUUCCUCUUCUUACUGACUCUUGGCAGCAGGUUUCUGCAUUUGUGUUUUGGAACAUAAUGCAUAGCAACCAUGUGUGGGCAAGCAAGAAGAGCUACAACUAUUAGAGCUUUCAUACCUGGUGAAUAGAACUACAGCUCAUAAUAAUGUGAUUUGAUCUGUUUUCAAUUCCUCACAUUAUUUUUAACAAAGUACAGUUUCUCACAAUCACAAUGACAAAUCUGAUAUUAAAAACACAGCAUUUUAUCAAAACUAGGAACUGUAGUAUACCAAACAAAUGCCCUAAAUAUGAGAAACUGCUGCACUGACUUCUUUUUUGUACUUUUUUUCUGGUGUUUUAUUUCUAUCUCCAUUUAUCUUUUCAAGGAUGUUGACAGUUGAUAAAGCUGGCAACAGCACAAAAGAGAAGGGCAGCUAUUCUUGCUUCUUAGAUUAUCCCUAAAUUCUGAUCAUCACAUUAUUUGUUGAAGCAAGUAACCCUAGGAAAAGAAACAGGUAAAAGAAAGAUUUUUUUGAAACUAUAAUAGAAACAGUACUUUUUUAAACUGUCAAAUGAUAAAUUGUCCCAUUGGAUUUUUCAAGAGUUCCUCAUGUCCAUUUUGGAACAAUCAAGUUUUAGUAUAUGGUCAUGGGUUAAAUAAUGUUACAUUGUGUUGAGAUUCAUAUAAGAUUCAGUAUACUAUGUAAACUAAACUUCCACUGUCAUUUAUGCAUGUUUGUCACUGUCAAGAAUAAAAAUAUUUUGAAAGAUUCA